rfam:Larimichthys crocea isolate SSNF unplaced genomic scaffold scaffold230, whole genome shotgun sequence.
UGGUCUAUCUGGCGAGCCCCGGAGAAUGUGCAAAUCUGAGAGAGGGAAGGAAAACUUUUGAAUUCCUGAAUGAUUUUGUAGAAAGGCGGCUUAGGAUCAUUAUGUCAGCUUUAUUGAGGGCGGAUUAAGCGGAGUCUAGAUGCUACGCCUUGUACACGGCCCUUUCACAAUGUGA